rnacentral:rRNA from 1 species
UACGGGGGGAGCAAGCGUUGUUCGGAUUUACUGGGCGUAAAGGGCGCGUAGGCGGUCAGCACAAGUCAGUUGUGAAAUCUCCGAGCUUAACUCGGAAAGGUCAACUGAUACUGUGCGACUAGAGUGCGGAAGGGGCAACUGGAAUUCUUGGUGUAGCGGUGAAAUGCGUAGAUAUCAAGAGGAACACCUGCGGCGAAGGCGGGUUGCUGGGCCGACACUGACGCUGAUGCGCGAAAGCUAGGGGAGCGAACGGG